GAUGAACGCUGGCGGCGUGCCUAAUACAUGCCAGUCGAGCGAACGGACGAGAAGCUUGCUUCUCUGAUGUUAGCGGCGGACGGGUGAGUAACACGUGGAUAACCUACCUAUAAGACUGGGAUAACUUCGGGAAACCGGAGCUAAUACCGGAUGAUAUUUUGAACCGCAUGGUUCAAAAGUGAAAGACGGUCUUGCUGUCACUUAUAGAUGGAUCCGCGCUGCAUUAGCUAGUUGGUAAGGUAACGGCUUACCAAGGCAACGAUGCAUAGCCGACCUGAGAGGGUGAUCGGCCACACUGGAACUGAGACACGGUCCAGACUCCUACGGGAGGCAGCAGUAGGGAAUCUUCCGCAAUGGGCGAAAGCCUGACGGAGCAACGCCGCGUGAGUGAUGAAGGUCUUCGGAUCGUAGAACUCUGUUAUUAGGGAAGAACAUAUGUGUAAGUAACUGUGCACAUCUUGACGGUACCUAAUCAGAAAGCCACGGCUAACUACGUG
rnacentral:rRNA from 1 species